UUGUGCGGGGUAAGUCAUAUACGACCAGCUCCCACUGAACUCCCCCAGGGCCGGAAGGCAGCAAGGGUAGGUGGUUGUAGCGGUGCGAUAUAUUAAGCUUGCCCCUUU
rfam:Bacteroidetes bacterium 41-46 SCNpilot_bf_inoc_scaffold_46, whole genome shotgun sequence.